UACGGAGGUUGCAAGCUUUGUUCGGAAUCAUUGGGCGUAAAGCGCGUGUAGGCGGCUUGGCAAGUCGGGUGUGAAAUCCCGGGGCCCAACCCCGGAACUGCAUUCGAAACUGCCUCGCUAGAGUCCCGGAGAGGAAGGCGGAAUUCCCGGUGUAGAGGUGAAAUUCGUAGAUAUCGGGAGGAACACCAGCGGCGAAGGCGGCCUUCUGGACGGUGACUGACGCUGAGACGCGAAAGCGUGGGGAGCAAACAGG
rnacentral:rRNA from 1 species